UCAACAUUGGCUACUUUCAAGGCAGAUACACCUCUGAGUAUCUCCCAGAAGUUUUAAGAACUUUUCAAAUACAUUAGAAGCUCUGCCAGGCACUGAGGAAUUUGGCCCAAAUGCCAAAACUAUGUAACGUCACAACUAGGAACUUGGUCUAAAUUUGCGUGUGCCCCAUCAGUUCUGCUUUUAUAUCACACGCAUUUGACUGCAAAUGUAUUGGUACGAAACGUGUUUUUUCCAUACAUUGACUGAAAAACUGUUUUCUACCCAUGAAUGGAAAAGCAUAAUCAGAACAAAAGAGGUGGGCAAGUUGUUAAUGUGCUGAAUUCCAUUUCCAUAUACCAGAAAAGUGCAACAUUUUGUGAAAAGGAAGACUUGGCUUCUGUCCACCCACCUUGCUUCUCUAUCUAGAGGAAGCGGCUUGGCAGUUUCGCCCCUCCAGAGAGUGCAUUUUCGCAUUCCAGUUUUGCAUAUUCUGGAAUUCUUCCAAGCUUAUGGAUAUCACUUUCAAGGGCUCAUAGAAAGAGUUCUUUGCUGAUGUCAUCUCUUAGGAUUUAAUUGAAACAUUUAAAGCCAGGGAAUCUGAAAGUGACUAGACACCACCCACCGCCAUCGCUACUGGAUCGGGUGAUCCGGUCCGAACCAGGAGCAUUUCACCCCUGGUUUGAGGACCUGGGCAAUCGAGC